rnacentral:lncRNA from 1 species
UUAUGAAUACAUGUAAGUAAAAUAUCAUAUGUUUGUAUUAAUUGAGAAAAGAGGUGUUGCUUCACGAAAUAAUUCUCAACAACUAAUUUUAUAUCAUUUUCAGUAAGCAUUCGGUAGAUUAACUAUUCUUCAGUUACAUGCAAAUUAUCGUAAGAUAUUUCAAAGUUAGACGCUAUGUACGCAAUGAUUGAGUGUCAGUGUAACCGAAAACAUUCAUCUAUGAUUGAGAUAAUAAGUCCACAAGAACCUCAGUUAGUUGGAUGGGUGGGCUUGGUUACAUUUUCCGAAAAACAAAAUUCGAUUAAUGAGUACAGGUGGGAACAAAAGAUUAAGAUUCUUAUGCUCUAAUUGGUGAUCAAGUUGAAUGAAAAAAAUUAUGGUGAAUUAUUUGUUUCUCCGAUUUUGUAGCAGCUGUGUUGAAUUUUUUGUCAAAUUAUUGGCAUGCGGGUCCCACU